GCUCCCGUAGCUCAGUGGAUAGAGCACCUGCCUCCUAAGCAGGGGGUCGCAAGUUCAAGUCUUGCCGGGGGCACCA
rnacentral:tRNA from 1 species